rnacentral:rRNA from 1 species
CUACGGGAGGCAGCAGUGGGGAAUAUUGGACAAUGGGGGGAACCCUGAUCCAGCAAUGCCGCGUGUGUGAAGAAGGCCUGAGGGUUGUAAAGCACUUUCAGUGAGGAGGAGGAAGUAGAGGUUAAGAGCUAUUACUUUGGACGUUACUCACAGAAGAAGCACCGGCUAACUCCGUGCCAGCAGCCGCGGUAAUACGGAGGGUGCGAGCGUUAAUCGGAAUUACUGGGCGUAAAGGGUGCGUAGGUGGUAGUAUAAGUUAGUUGUGAAAUUCCUGGGCUUAACCUGGGCAUUGCAACUAAGACUGUACAACUCGAGUAUGGGAGAGGGCAGUGGAAUUUCCGGUGUAGCGGUGAAAUGCGUAGAGAUCGGAAGGAACACCAGUGGCGAAGGCGGCUGCCUGGCCCAAUACUGACACUGAGGCACGAAAGCGUGGGGAGCAAACAGGAUUAGAUACCCCUGUAGUCC